ensembl:ncRNA K02A4.9 ncRNA
AAAAACUUACGCAACGAGCAGGAAUCGAACCUACGCGGGCAAAGCCCAAUGGAUUUCAAGUCCAUCUCCUUAACCACUCGGACAUCGUUGCACAAAAC